GAUGAACGCUGGCGGCGUGCCUAAUACAUGCAAGUCGAGCGAACGGACGAGAAGCUUGCUUCUCUGAUGUUAGCGGCGGACGGGUGAGUAACACGUGGAUAACCUACCUAUAAGACUGGGAUAACUUCGGGAAACCGUAGCUAAUACCGGAUAAUAUUUUGAACCGCGUGGUUCAAAAGUGAAAGACGGUCUUGCUGUCACUUAUAGAUGGAUCCGCGCUGCAUUAGCUAGUUGGUAAGGUAACGGCUUACCAAGGCAACGAUGCAUAGCCGACCUGAGAGGGUGAUCGGCCACACUGGAACUGAGACACGGUCCAGACUCCUACGGGAGGCAGCAGUAGGGAAUCUUCCGCAAUGGGCGAAAGCCUGACGGAGCAACGCCGCGUGAGUGAUGAAGGUCUUCGGAUCAUAAAACUCUGUUAUUAGGGAAGAACAUAUGUGUAAGUAACUGUGCACAUCUUGACGGUACCUAAUCAGAAAGCCACGGCUAACUACGUG
rnacentral:rRNA from 1 species